rnacentral:rRNA from 1 species
UCCUACGGGACGCAGCAGUGAGGAAUAUUGGUCAAUGGGCGCGAGCCUGAGCCAGCCAAGUCGCGUGAGGGAAGACGGUCCUAUGGAUUGUAAACCUCUUUUGUCGGGGAGCAAAAGACGCCACGUGUGGCGUUCCGAGAGUACCCGAAGAAAAAGCAUCGGCUAACUCCGUGCCAGCAGCCGCGGUAAUACGGAGGAUGCGAGCGUUAUCCGGAUUUAUUGGGUUUAAAGGGUGCGCAGGCGGAAGAUCAAGUCAGCGGUAAAAUUGAGAGGCUCAACCUAUUCGAGCCGUGGAAACUGGUUUU